UGGACCUAAAAGAACAAGGAGAACAUCCUAACAUCCUGCUUGUUAGUUUCAUGUUCUAUCUGAGGGUGGGACAUGAGCUCUGAGCUGCACAGGGCCACACACUAUGGAUCACACCCAGGGUCCCUGAAUAUGCCUGGAUUCCUUUGUUUCCUCCAGGAAGAUGGUUCCUGGUUCCCAUUGCACACUGGUGCUAAUUACAUUUCAUGAUAAUUGUAUAGAGUGAGAGCCAUGAACCUUUGCACAUUCCAUCCAUGAGGCCCUCUAAAGCAGUGCCAUUAUGGCUUUUCAUCUCUUAUAGUUACACAACCUAGACACUAUGGGUGGAGUAGAGGGUAGUACUAUAGUUAUAGUGACACUCAGAUUUCCUCAAAUUUGCCUUGAAGGUAAGUGGGCUCAGUGAAGAAAUACCAGUGAGACAGACUUGAACUUGUGGACUUUGGAGGGCACUUUCAAGGUUAAGUGCAAUCACGUUUAGGUGUUGUAGGUUAAGCUUCAUGAAACCCGGAGCCUUAGAGGUUGCUGUAUCCAAGCUGGCCACACUGGGUUCAAAUGACAGUAUCCUCACUAUGUAACAGUGUUCCUCAGUUUUACUAUCUUCAUCUGACCAAACUGCACAUCAUGAGAAUCAUAAGCAGAAGGAGGACCCCGGGGUUAUUGGGUGCCUUCCCUGGCCUGCUUGGGGCUCAGCUUCCUGCCUGUGAGUCUAAGAGCUUUAACGUCUUGAAUUGAGGCUUUGACUCAAUCAAGGACAACUGGGGCUGCCUCUAGUUGCCGGCUCUGACUGACAUCCAGUGACGGUUAGCAACUACUCCUCUAACAGCUGAGGACUGAGGUUAGUAAGGAGAGAUGGCAUGAUUGAUCGCAAGGCUUUUUACUGUGCUCUGGGGACUUUUACUCUACUUGUGGUUUAGACUCUACUUCCUGACCUGCUGUUUGACCUGCAGUUUUUCCCAUGUCUGUAUCUCAGUGUCUGCUCUCUUCCCCACAGUCAGUGACAGUUUUCUUCCCUUGUUCCCUCUUUUGUACAGAGCCCUUUGUGGUUUGUUCUUCCUCCUCCUGUCAAUAUAUUCCCUGGAGCACUGCAUUUCCAUCAGAUGAUUCAACUGUAGCAUGUGCUGUAUAUAAAAGUUGACCUUAGCAUGGAGAGGGAAUAUAAUAUCAUUCCUUCUAUAGGCCAAAGGCUUCAAUGGGUACUAAUAGAACUCGACUAGGCUGGACAAUACCUGUUGGUUUCCUCAGGUGCCCUUAAGUGACUGGGAGCAUAAGGGUCUCAUCCUAUGGAGGGGUUGGAUGUCUUAUCCUCCCAAAAAGAUAUAAUCAAGUGAUAAGAGGCACUCUCAGUCUACAGCAAUCCCAACAGAGUGCCAUGGGCUCAUAGAUAGGGUCUUGGAGACAUUCAGAUAAAGACAGAUUCAAUGUAAGUGUAUUAAUCAUCCUGUUGGUCUGGACUACUUCUCUACAAAGCAUCGAUUCAUGUAUGCAUUGACUCAGAACCUAUUUGUCUUCUUGGGUUUUGAGCAAUUUGAGUUAAGACUCUGACUCACUGAAGAAAAGCACAGGCUACCUUAUAGAUUAGUCAUUGUACAGUGAUUCAGCCCUGAGCUGGGGUUUGAGAAGCCUAGGGGUUCUGUCUCUUACUCUCUCUUUCUCUCCAGGAUUAAAAAGCUGGCCCAAGCAUGGUGCUCAAGCAUGGUGCUGGACUCUUAUAGAAAAUGCCACAGUUCAGAAGAAGUCAGUCCAUGACUCUUGGAGGUUCCAGUCUAGCCAGGUAGAAGCUGGAAAGAAGCUGGAACCAUUACAGGAACCCCCAAGGGUAAUGUUGGGGAAUCAAUCCCUUGGAUCCCAAGGAAACAAGGCACCAAGAGGACAACAAGGAUUUAAACACAAACCCCAGAGUGGCUUGAGUGAUGGUUAAGGAGAACUAGAAACUAAAGUUGAAUGAGUAAGGGGUGGGGCAAAUUACAGCAGCCCUUUCUUUAUCGAGUCAGGCUACAGAAUGUGUACAGCAGCAAUCUGUAAGUGAAAAACUUUUUGGGGAAAAAUGGCCUAUAUAAUCUAUGAAUGGGAAUUGAUAUAUAAAUUGUGGUGCACCCAAAUAAUAAGUUUCAAGAGAGAAAAGCUAUGAAGCAGAGCUCCACAUGUCAACAUGAAUAAAUCACACAGGCAUAAUGUUGAAUCAGGGUGGAGGGGUGAGGUAAGCUGAAAACUAAAGAGCUUCUUUUAUGGCGCAAUUGAUAGGAUGUUUAAAAACAUGCAAAACAAUUCCACAUAUUGUUCAGGAACAAAUAAAUAUGCAGUAAAUGUGUAAUGUAAUUUGUGGGAGCGAUAAAGUCUAAAUUCCAGUUCUGGGGUUUGGGGGGGAUGGGUAUUCAUAAAGUGCUGAGGCUUCAGUCCUGUCUCACUUCUUACACAUUGGUAGAGCCAUAAAUGCUCAUUCUAUUAUUAUGUGUUGCUCUUUAUGUGUCUUAAAUACUGUGUACUAUAAUGUAUUUAGGGAAUGGAAGCAAAGCAAGUUAGAUUGCUUGUAAACGUGAGAGUCUGUCUCCUUUCUUCCUUCCUUGCUGCCUCUAGCCUAGACUUAGGUCUUCCCACAUCCUUGCUCAGAGGUGCCAGACAUGUCCUUGAUGUCUCUUUCCUGGGCCAGGCUAGCUCUCUCUUGCUGAGCCUUUCUUUGGUGCAGUGCUAUCCAGUAACAGUAAAAGCAAGGGAUUUAGGGGAGCCAAAAGGUUCAACCCUUCUACUCACUACAAAGAGUAUGACUUUAUUGGAUGGGGUUCUUGUGGUCUUGGAUUUCCUGAAAACAAUUCCUUCCUAAGUGGCCAUUUGUCUUCUUCGCCAUUUUCACAACAACAACAAAAAUGCAAUAUAAAUCUUGCUUCCAACCUCCCUCUCUCUCCCAAUGGAAAUAGGAACCCUAAUCUGUUCUAAUUUUACCCAUAAAGACACAUUCUACUGUAGUCUCUGAAGCUGAGGAGAGUACAAAGCUCAAAUCAAGAUCUUGCUUUUAGCUGACAUCACUCAUAAUGUGUGGACCUGGAUUUCUAACCUCUAGGUACAUGUGACCCCAAAGCACACAUGUUCUCCUUCCUUUGUACCAAACUAUUUCCUGGCAGCCGAUUGACAGCCCCUGGUGAGUGUUUCAGAGACUUUUCACUUUGACUUAGUAACACUAUGGACCAAAUCCAGUCAAUGUCCUUCUCUUUGGAUAUUUUUUUUUUUGUUUUUGUUUUUGGUUUUUUUCUUGAAAAGGAGUUGGUGUGAAUUCUCAGACUCCACCAUGUCCUUAACAUUUUUUAGUGCAUCUUGGUGAAGGUUGGCCUUGAACAGAGCUAUAAGGUAUCACCCCACUUCCCAGUUCCCAGAUUCAUGAUGUGGAGAUGUUAGACAGGCCCUUGAUACCGCCAUUUAAGCCCAAAGGUACCAGGACCAAACCCAGAGACCCACCUAAGACAGGCUACUAGCUGGGAUCCUAUCUUCCAGAGACCUAGAGGAAUGGCUUUUGGCUCUUUGGAUCCUUCUGGACCCUCUUUCUGAGAAGUUAAACAUAGUUGACUUCUACCUGAAUAUGGGUAAUUGCAUCUUCAUAAAAUUCCCAUGGGAUUACAGACCACUGUAUUUUAUGGACUGAAUGAAAAGACAAACUUGGGCAUAAAAAGAUUUAGAUUAUAUCUCAGGUGUACAUUAAGAGUGGCAGUUUAGGCACAAGCUAAGUGGUAAUUUCUCAAGGGAUUUAGCAGUUUGGAGGUUGGAGUUAGUUGGCCUCUAUAAAGUAUUCCAGGACAAAAUCCUUUAGGACAGAGGUAUCUAUAUUCCUUGUUGGGUCUGGGAAGUGCCAUUUGGCUGAUGCAGGAACCCAUAUUCCUAGAUUCUAGUCCAGCACUUUACUUAGCAUCUGACUGGUUUUCCUCCCAAGAAAAGUAUAGCAGGGAUGCUUCUCUUUGACCUAGAGGGAUGGCGAGACCCCCAAUCUCCCCUCUACCCUGAGAAUAGAUGUGGUUUUGUCUGUUUGUUUUCUGGAGCCAUCACAGGUAGAAGUGGAUAUGGAUGGGGAGUAAGGAGAAGGCGGGGGGUGGGGAGGGGAGGAGUUGCAUGAACAAGUUGCCAUGUGUCCAUACAGCCAUACCUCUCAGGAUGAGUACCCUGAGGGAAUACACAAGAACCAGGUCACCACUAGGGUCUUUAAGAUGCUGCCAGAAUUUGGUGGUGUGGUGUGGUACUGGUGUCCUAGCUCACCUUAAUAUUCCUUUUCUUUCUUAGUUCUGAUAACUGUAUAGAGAAAUACGGAAUGUAGACUUUCCAAGGCACAGGCUGGGUAGAGCUGUGAGAGGAGGUUUUCCAGAUGGAGGAGGUCUGGAGUCUUAGCCCCAACUUGACCUCCAUGAGUUCUUUCUCUCUUGCCUCCUCUACCAAAAGUGACCUCUAUCUUAUUCCAGGGCUCUUCACGCUUCCCCGAUGUUGCUUUGGCACACCAGGUCUACAACCAACUUCUGAAUGACCUUGAACAAGUGAUUUCAUUUGCAUAUUGAUGGCUUCAGUACUUCUCAAGUGGCUGUCUCCUCUUAGGAGCAUUUGGAAUCCGUUCCUCCUGCUCUCUUCACAACCUCCAUCUCCAGCCAUUAGAUUGCUUCAAUCAGCAUAUACUGACUUUAAUUUCCCAGAUAUUACUGGGAUGGGAUGAUAAGGUAUGUAUGUACUAUCUUUAGUCUGAAUUCUGUUUAUCAGCAUAAUUGUAUCCUUAUGUGUUUUGUUUUGUUUCCUGCCAAGUAGAAUUCAGUUUUCUGGAUAUACCACAGUUCAUCAAUCCAUCAUUGGUUGGCAUUGUAUAAUUUCCAGUUUGGAACUCUUACAAAUGAAUCUGUUAUGAACAUUCACAUUUAAGUCUUCUAGGGGACCUGUGUGUUCAUUUUCAUCUGGUGAAUCCAUAAGAGUGAAAUGGGUAUGUCAAAUAAGAGGCAAGGGUUUAAAUUUUUUAAGGGAUGGCUCUGUUGAUUUCCAGAGUGGCCCCACCACUUUGCAUAGUAGUGUUUGCACUUCAGUUAUUCUGGAUACUUAAUAAAACUUGGGUUUUGCCUUCUUGAUUUAAGAAGAGUGAAAUCUCUCUGGACUUUUGCUUUACAGUUUUCUAAUGGUUGAUUAACACUGAGCAAAUUCUCAUCACUCCUGAUGAACAUACGGAGAUGUUUCUACUGGGGAUGCAAUUCUCAAGAGAACAAAUUCUUGGACUCUCUUAGAGAAUGUUGCCAAGCUACUUCAGAGUGAGAGAUGCUGAAGGAAGGAUGCUGUGGUACACGCUACUUCUGAUUUGUCCUUGUUUAGGUCCCUGUAUCUACUUCCUAACUAAAUCAGUGAAAAGCAUUUUAACUCUUUUUACCCCAUGACCCCAUACUAAGUGCCAUCCAUUCUCGGAGGUGAGAAGAGUUAGCUUGGUUUGAUGGUCACCUCCGUGCUGGGUUUGCGUAUUUACUUCCCUGCUGAGAGACAGAGAUACACCCAUGUUACAGCUGUGCAGCAGAAGCUCAGAGAGAAGUGCAUUUUCAUAGUUAGGGGAGGUGGAGCUUAUCACAGGUUUAAGGUUAACAGCCCUGUGUCUCUGUUCCAUGAGCCACCUCCCUUUGAUCGCACCGCUUCCCAGGUGCUUGAGAAGACACAUCUGACUGAUUGUACAGAAGCGCUGUUGAAAACUGUGCUGAGAGGCUCUUGCCAUGAUUCUGAGCUUUGUUGCAUGCCAGUCUCUCCUCCACUCCUCAUCUGGGAUGUUCGGGAAAGAAUUUCCAACAGCUGUGUUUAGAAAGUCGGUGCACCUUGACCAAGCCCCCUCUUCUGUAUUGAUGGUUUCCUUGGCACAGCAAGCUCCUCUGUUCCCAUUUGGCUUCCCCUCUAGGCCACACACCACAGGCUCCUUUGGUUUGGGGGUGAGGCAUGCACUCUCUCACUUCCCUCGUUCACCCUGACAUAUGUC